rnacentral:rRNA from 1 species
CGGAGAACUGAAACAUCUUAGUACCCGGAGGAAGAGAAAGAAAAUUCGAUUCCCUUAGUAGCGGCGAGCGAAACGGGAAGAGCCCAAACCAACAAGCUUGCUUGUUGGGGUUGUAGGACACUCUAUACGGAGUUACAAAGGACGACAUUAGACGAAUCAUCUGGAAAGAUGAAUCAAAGAAGGUAAUAAUCCUGUAGUCGAAAAUGUUGUCUCUCUUGAGUGGAUCCUGAGUACGACGGAGCACGUGAAAUUCCGUCGGAAUCUGGGAGGACCAUCUCCUAAGGCUAAAUACUCUCUAGUGACCGAUAGUGAACCAGUACCGUGAGGGAAAGGUGAAAAGCACCCCGGAAGGGGAGUGAAAUAGAACCUGAAACCGUGUGCUUACAAGUAGUCAGAGCCCGUUAAUGGGUGAUGGCGUGCCUUUUGUAGAAUGAACCGGCGAGUUACGAUUUGAUGCAAGGUUAAGCAGUAA